AGUCGGCCACAGCUGCCCCUCGAGCAGCGAGUGGGGCAGGAGCGGCUCUACCUUUCCUUGCGACCUACUCGCCUGCUGAGCCCAGACCUUGCUCCAGGGUAGCUCCAAGCUGCCCCACAGGAUUUAGCCCGCUUAUUUUCUCCCCUAACCCUGCAAGUUCUGUAGGGCCUUGUUGAAGAUGUUAACUCUUCUGUAAUAACUAACCAUUUCAUCUUGCCCAGCACCCUCUUUUGGCACACGAGAGCCCUGAGACCCCAAAAGAGGAAAUGAGAUUCUGAGGCCGUAUAGCAAGGUGGACCCAACCGGGGACUCCUGGGCGGCAAAUACAAGGAUUGGGUUAGGUAUCAGGAUAUCUGAGUGUUCACAUACAGCGUCCUCACCAUGUGCUGCGUCAGUGGUUCACAAAGUGAGCUUCCGGAUCAGCAGCGGCCGUAUCGCCUGGGAACUGGGUAGAGGCGCAGGUUCUCGGCCCCCAUUCCACGCCUACUGACUCAGAACCCCUGGGGAUGGGGCUCCUUCCGGUGGCCCUCCAGGUGGUGCCAGGCUCACUGUGCUGAAGAGAAGACAGUGUAACCACACCUGAACAGACCCUUUUUCAAGACUCCCUGCUGGCAUGUAGUUCAGAAGACAAACUAAUGAAUCUGUCACAGAAUGUUGGAAGAAUGACUAGCCCUUGGCCUAAAGGUAAGUUUUCACUCUGCCAGGUCUCCCCCUGGUGAAGAUGUAUAAUGGGGAACCUGAUCUGGGGGGAUUAGGGAAGGGUAAACUCUGAAGGAAGACAUUAGAAGGAAAAGAGGGAGGUGAAGGUGGGAGAUAACAUUUAGGGAAAUGAAACCAUGUGGGCUAAUGGUAAGGAAUGAAGCCACCAGAGGGGAAGCACGGGAGAAUCAUGCUGAAGAGUUUGCUUCUUAUCCAGGGGUAGGGGAAGCCAUCAGGUUUGCAUCUUAGAAGGAUCAUGCUUGCUGCUAUUUGGGGGACUGGAUCAGAAUGGGGGACUAGUUAAAAGGCUGUUAAAGUCAUUUAGGUGAGAGUUGGUGAGGGCACUGAAGAUGCAGAAAACUGGAUUCAACAGUUCUUUUUUUUUUUUUUUUUUUUUUGAGACGGAGUCUCAUUCUUGUUGCCCAAGCUGGAGUACAGUGGCAUGAUCUCAGCUCACUGCAACCUCCACCUCCCGGGUUCAAGCGAGUCUCCUGCCUUAGCCUCCCGAGUAGCUGGAAUUACAGGCGCCC
rnacentral:lncRNA from 10 species